rnacentral:lncRNA from 1 species
CCUCCUCAGAAUCCUUCUCGAGGGUGGCCGUGUUCUCAUGGGCCUCUUCCUCCGUGCCCCUACCCACAUACCAGUGGACAAGGGCGUGCCUGGCAUACAUCGGGUCAAACUCGUGGUCUAGGUGAGCCCAGGUCUCGGGGCUGGCCAUGGUGCUCUCAGCAUACACACAGCUCGCUGCACCUUGGUCGGGUCUCCAGCAGGUAGCACGGUGGGAGGCAGGUUACUGAUGGCAACUCUGAAGCCAGCCGGGCACCAGUCCCCAAACUGGACGGUGCUUUUGGUCUCGAUGGCAGCAAUGGCGGCACUGACGUCUCUGGGAAGCAUAGGACCGCUGUACAACGGGCAGCAAGCCACGUAUUUGCCACGGCGAGGCUCACGUCUCACCGUCUGGUUCGCUGACUUAAAGGAUGCAUCGAUGAUCUCUGCUACGGGAUGCUGUUCACAGCAGGCCCUCUCAGCGGAGAUGACAGGAGCGUAGGUGGCCACGGGGACGUGGAUGCGGGGGUAGGGCACCAGAUCGGUCCGGAAUUCUCUCGGAUCAACACUUAGGGCUCCAUCAAAUCCGAGGGAAGCAGCGACGGAGGACACAGUUUGACUUAUCCACCUGUUCAGGUCAGUAGCCCAGGUUGGGUGUUCGGUACUGAGGUUUCUACGACAGAUGUCAUAGAUGGCCUCGUCGUCUACCAAGAAGGCACAAUCAGAGUGCUCGCUCCAGCGCGGUGUGGGUAGUGAGGAUGGAGUUGUAGGGCUCAACGACAGCCGUGGAAACCUUGGGGGCUGCGUAAGUGGAGAGCUCCAGCUCGGGCUUCUCGCCAUAAUCGACAGAGAGACGAUGCACCGGCAGGGAGGUGAUCCUGGAGACAGG